CAGUAGCCGCGGUAAUACAAAGGGUGCAAGCGUUAAUCGGAAUUACUGGGCGUAAAGCGUGCGUAGGCGGUUUGUUAAGUCUGUUGUGAAAUCCCCGGGCUCAACCUGGGAAUGGCAAUGGAUACUGGCAAGCUAGAGUGUGUCAGAGGAUGGUGGAAUUCCCGGUGUAGCGGUGAAAUGCGUAGAGAUCGGGAGGAACAUCAGUGGCGAAGGCGGCCAUCUGGGACAACACUGACGCUGAGGCACGAAAGCGUGGGGAGCAAACAGGAUUAGAUACCCGUGUAGUCCCUGUCUCUUAUAA
rnacentral:rRNA from 1 species